CAGACCCUGCCAAACCGAAGUCUAACGCUCCGCGUCAGAUAGUAAUUAGGUGCGGUGGGGUUUA
rnacentral:ncRNA from 1 species